rnacentral:rRNA from 1 species
UGGGGAAUUUUGGACAAUGGGCGCAAGCCUGAUCCAGCAAUGCCGCGUGCAGGAUGAAGGCCUUCGGGUUGUAAACUGCUUUUGUACGGAACGAAACGGUUCUCUCUAAUACAGGGGGCUAAUGACGGUACCGUAAGAAUAAGCACCGGCUAACUACGUGCCAGCAGCCGCGGUAAUACGUAGGGUGCGAGCGUUAAUCGGAAUUACUGGGCGUAAAGCGUGCGCAGGCGGUUAUGUAAGACAGAUGUGAAAUCCCCGGGCUCAACCUGGGACCUGCAUUUGUGACUGCAUAGCUGGAGUACGGUAGAGGGGGAUGGAAUUCCGCGUGUAGCAGUGAAAUGCGUAGAUAUGCGGAGGAACACCGAUGGCGAAGGCAAUCCCCUGGACCUGUACUGACGCUCAUGCACGAAAGCGUGGGGAGCAAACAGG